rnacentral:rRNA from 1 species
CCCUUAGAUGUCCUGGGCCGCACGCGCGCUACACUGAGUGUCUGAGAUACGAGUCUGCCUGGUCCGGCAAGGUCUAGGUAAUCGCUAAAAGACACAUCAUGCUUGGGAUAGAUUAUUGCAAAUAUUAAUCUUGAACGAGGAAUUCCUAGUAAGCGCAAGUCAACAGCUUGCGUUGAUUACGUCCCUGCCCUUUGUACACACCGCCCGUCGCUACUACUGAUUGGAUGUUUAAGCGAGGUUCUCGAACUGCUAGCGACUUAGCUUCGGUGAGGUCGCAGUGUGGGAAGUGAACCUAGCUUUGGUGUCUAGAGGAAGUAAAAGUCGUAAAA